rnacentral:misc_RNA from 1 species
GCCCCUUGUAAUAUUCUCUUCAUCAUGCGUUUUCUUCAUUCGUACGUGUGAUAUCUCUCUAUCUAUAAUCUAUCCAUCCCCAGCGAGAUAGAUGAUGGUUCAUGCGACUUGAGGAGAAGCCAUAAUUACCCUCAUUGUACUUUGUUAGAAAAACAAAACCCAUUGGUCAUGAUUCCUGGUUGGUACUUCGCUAUUUCAAACAAAGCCUAAUCAUCAGGAUAUGGACCUCUGUGUUCUAAGUUCUAACCAGUAA